UGGGGAAUAUUGCACAAUGGGGGAAACCCUGAUGCAGCGACGCCGCGUGAAGGAAGAAGUAUUUCGGUAUGUAAAGUACUAUCAGCAGGGAAGAAAAUGACGGUACCUGACUAAGAAGCUCCGGCUAACUACGUGCCAGCAGCCGCGGUAAUACGUAGGGGGCAAGCGUUAUCCGGAUUUAGUGGGUGUAAAGGGAGCGUAGACGGAGUAGCAAGUCUGAUGUGAAAGGCGGGGGCUCAACCGCCGGAGUGCAUUGGAAACUGUUGAGCUUGAGUACCGGAGAGGUAAGCGGAAUUCCUAGUGUAGCGGUGAAAUGCGUAGAUAUUAGGAGGAACACCAGUGGCGAAGGCGGCUUACUGGACGGUAACUGACGUUGAGGCUCGAAAGCGUGGGGAGCAAACA
rnacentral:rRNA from 1 species